rnacentral:misc_RNA from 1 species
GAUGAAGAACGUAGUGAAAUGCGAUAACUAAUGUGAAUUGCAGAAUUCAGUGAAUCAUCGAGUCUUUGAACGCACAUUGCGCCCCCUGGUAUUCCGGGGGGCAUGCCUGUCCGAGCGUCAUUGCUGCCCUCAAGCACGGCUUGUGUGUUGGGCUCCGUCCCCCCGGGGACGGGUCCGAAAGGCAGCGGCGGCACCGAGUCCGGUCCUCGAGCGUAUGGGGCUUUGUCACCCGCUCUGUAGGCCCGGCCGGCGCCAGCCGACAACCAAUCAUCCUUUUUUCAGGUUGACCUCGGAUCAGGUAGGGAUACCCGCUGAACUUAAGCAUAUCAAUAAGCGGAGGA